CUAUCCUCUAUUCCUCCAACGGCUAGCUUAUUCCAACCGUUCAGAUUUGUUGACCGUUUAAAUUCCCAGACUCAAAUUUAAAUUCUCGUUUGGAAAAUAUACACGUUACAAAUUAUAUCCCAGUCGAGAAUUUCUCAAAUCUUCCUCCUCCUUCUUCUUCGUCACUAUCAUUCUGUUCCUACUCAAUUCGUGGCCAUGCCUUCUAACAACAAGUCCUUGCCAUCAGUGGCAUCAAAUUCAAACCCUAGCCCAGCCCUAGAAGAAGUUCAGAAAUCAGCAACCCUAUGAGGAAGAGUUUUACCGGAAACCCAUUCUCUAUGCCCUCCCUAGUCGCAAACCCUACUAGUUCUAGAUCCGUUUUCCCCAACACUCCCGCCAACAGUCCUUCAGAUUUUCAGGUAAGGAACAGUGUUGCGGGCAGAGAAAGAGGGGGGGGGGGUCUUUGCGGUACGUUGAUGACAAAGAAAAUGGGAAAGAUCAGACAUUGAAGCCCGGGAAGGUUCGAUCACCAGCUGCUUGCUUGAAGGGCUCAAAGAAUUUCAUGUCUCCGACCAUCUCUGCUUCCUGCAAGAUUAUUGAAUCUCCGAGGAAAAAAGUGCUGAUUGAGAGGAAUGGGCCAGUUCAAGAUUCUGUUCCAUCUGCAGAGGCCAAAAACAACGUUCGCAAGGUAACUUUUGCAGAACCCUUGGAAUGUGGUGGCUUGCAAUCAAAGACCACCUUGAUCUAGAAGAGAGAAAACCUGAUUCUAUAUUUGAUGGGGUUCCAAAUUUUGAGGAAUCACAUAGUAGCCGCUCUAGUUUGACAUCUGAGGAAGAUUUGAGUGAUGAAAGUGAAACUGUCCAUGAUAUCAGUGUUCCUUUGGUUCCAAAUAAUGACACUGAUUUGUCAUUGAGGCUGAACAUGAUCUGAAUGUUCCUUUGGUUCUAGAGGAUGAUAAAAUUGAGACAGAACCUUCAUUUGAAACUAUCAAGCUUAGUCCUACCCCACCUCCAGCUUCAUCUACAGCAACCAUCUUAGCUCCUCUUGAUGCCGAUCCCUUGAUGCCACCUUACAAUCCUAAAACAAACUAUCUCUUCCCUAGACCGCAGUUACAGAGGAUUCUCAGUCCGAAGAAGCUUCACAGAAAGAAGCAGAGGAGGUCUCUUCGGAUGAGGCAGUUAUGGAGGAAGGAAAGCCAAAGUUCUGAUGAACCAAGUCCUGCAGAGGGAACCAUUGAAGCCAACCCUAAGCGCCGCUUCUCUAUGAAAUAAUUGGCUUUGGUCUGAUUAUUCUCCUCUCAUUUGCUGUUCUCUCCAUCUCAGUCAUCAAUUCUCCGGUGGUUCAUCAUACAUGUAUGAGGCUUAUGAAGCGUCUCAACUUUCAGAUUUUGCAAGGGCCAACUUUGAUCAAUUCACCCAGUUUGCAAAAGCAAAAUUCGAUUGUUUAGCUCAGAGUGGAAUCCGGUUUAUUAAGUCCUUAACGAUCUGAGCUGAUAUCCAAAGUUAGAGGACUACAAAUUCAUAGUUUGGCCCAGUUGCAAUACUACAACUUGACCGUUGUGCCGGAUCAUGUUGUGGUUAAUCAGUACCAUGUAUUUCGUAGGGGCAAAAAUGAAGUUGUUGAUGCCGAGAUUGAUGCUGAAAGUGCUUUAGAUGCUCCACAACCAGAGCAGUCUUUGCAACUGACUGAAGCGGGAAAUUCAGAUGCAAAGCAAGAACAAGAAGGCAACGUUUAUUUCAAUGUUGAAGGUGUUUCAGAAUUGGAUGAAGUACUUAAGGGCUAAGCAGGAAUUACCAGAGCAGGUAGGCUUUGCAACUGGCUGAAGCAGAAAUUUCAGAAGCAAUGCAUUUACAAGAAGAGGAUGCUCACUUCUUCAGUUUUUUCUUACCUCUUUCACUAGGAGAUGGUGCCAGGUUCAAUAUUGAAAAACCAAGUAACGAAGGUCUAGAGAAUUUGCCUAGUUUAGUCUCAGGAGUUGAAAAAAUUUAUGCAACAGUAGAUGCUGCAAUCACCAGGAAUGAAAGGAGAUCUGAAACAACUGACAUAACUCCACGUAUGAUGCUAUAUUUGCUGCUCUGUGGAGGUGCACUUAUAAUUGCUCUUGUAUCUUUCAAGUUUUCAAGGAAAGGUAAAAUCGGAAGCAAAAGGGUCACCAGAUCUGUGGAGCAACCUUUGAUUGGUAAGGAGUUGCAUGCCAACAACUUCAUUGCAAACUCUGAACAAAAAGCAAAUUUCUCCAGAGAAGUCAUCUCUCAGGAAUGGACCCACAGAAAUGGACGUGCUUGAACUUGAAGAGCAUAUUGCCCUUCAGAAAUGAGCAGCUUUCAGCAGGGUUUCAUCCCAAACCAGUCGGAUGAAGAUCAUAGCGUAGAGAAGAAGCGCAAGAAGCACUAUAGGAGAGAAUCUUGGGCCUCUUCAGACUAUUCCAUGGGUUCGACAUCAUCCUAUGGAAGCUUAAUAUUGUACGAGAAAAUUCCAAGCAAGCAGGUAUGUAUUUUAUUUCCCUUUAUUUUAUUGUCACAAAACCUAACAAAACAUGUAUCUUUCAUCCACUAUAAAUUUGUUUCUUA